UAGGGAAUCUUCGGCAAUGGACGAAAGUCUGACCGAGCAACGCCGCGUGAGUGAAGAAGGGUUUCGGAUCGUAAAACUCUGUUGUUAGAGAAGAACAAGGACGAUAGUAACUGAACGUCCCCUGACGGUAUCUAACCAGAAAGCCACGGCUAACUACGUGCCAGCUGCCGCGGUAAUACGUAGGUGUCAAGCGUUGUCCGGAUUUAUUGGGCGGAAAGCGAGCGCAGGCGGUUUCUUAAGUCUGAUGUGAAAGCCCCCGGCUCAACCGGGGAGGGUCAUUGGGAACUGGGAGACUUGAGUGCAGAGGAGGAGAGUGGAAUUCCAUGUGUAGCGGUGAAAUGCGUAGAUAUAUGGAGGAACACCAGUGGCGAAGGCGGCUCUCUGGUCUGUAACUGACGCUGAGGCUCGAAAGCGUGGGGAGCAAACAGG
rnacentral:rRNA from 1 species